rnacentral:misc_RNA from 1 species
AUUAAAUGCCGUAGCUGCAACUGCACUUAAUCUACCCACCCACUCUCUCGCUACCCCUAAACCCUCCUUUUCUUCUCAUGGACCUUCUCAACCCUUCUUCUCUCCAUUCUCAAUGUCCACCUCCGACAUCCGCCGCCAAACCCCACCACCACCUGUGACCAUCGCCCCACCAGAUUCUACCUACACCCUUUCUCAAAACCUCAGCACCAUCGGCCUCGGCUACGCAAUUGCCAUAGCUCUCGGUUUCCUUGUUCUUCUAUCUACAGUCCUCCUUGCUUCUUACAUCUGCUGUCGUUCCGCUGCUGCUCGCCGCCGCCGCCGCCAGGCUCGAGCUAAUUCCCGAAACCCCAACAACAACAUCGAAAACGGAAUUUACCUACCCCGUAUCAUUUUCGUAGCGGAAGAUGAUGAAGAAAACGACGACGGAUUAUCACAAAACGCAACGUUGGGGCUUGAUCAAGUGGUUAUCAAUUCGUACCCGAAGCUGAUUUACUCCAAAAGGAACGGCGGAAGUGGAAAUGGAAACGAUGUCGUUUGCCCUAUAUGCCUGUGUGAGUAUAAGGAUGGGGAGAUGCUGAGGAUGAUGCCGGACUGUAAGCAUUAUUUUCAUGUUAUGUGUUUAGAUGCCUGGUUGAAAUUGAAUGCUUCGUGCCCAGUUUGCCGGAAUUCGCCG